UACGGAGGGUGCGAGCGUUGUCCGGAAUCACUGGGCGUAAAGGGCGCGUAGGCGGCCUGAUAAGUAGGGGGUGGAAUCCUGCGGCUUAACCGCAGGGCUGCCUUCUAAACUGUCAGGCUAGAGCACGGUAGAGGCAGAUGGAAUUCCCGGUGUAGCGGUGGAAUGCGUAGAGAUCGGGAAGAACAUCAGUGGCGAAGGCGGUCUGCUGGGCCGUUGCUGACGCUGAGGCGCGACAGCGUGGGGAGCAAACAGG
rnacentral:rRNA from 1 species